ACCACAGAGUUCUGCAGGCAGUGGAGAAGCCUGGGCCCUUACAGCAGAUGCAGGGGUUGCUAGAGGAAGCUGAGCUAAUAAGACAGCCUGGGGGGACUGGAAAGAAGCUGCUGAAAAUAACUGUUUAGAGAGGCUGCAUCGCUGGCAAGGGAGACUGAUCCUGUUUUAGCUCCCUGAAGACUGGCUUCACCAGGCCUAGAGACUUUUGUUUUGGGACUUGGAAGUUCUGAGUAGUCCUAACUUGGGCUCUGAGAUCUGAAAACCAAGGUCCCAAUCCUGAAAAAAACUGACAAAUGCCAUUGAAGUCAAUGGACACUAUGGGCCUGAUCCAAAUCCAAUGGAAAGACUAACUUCCAAGUUUAUGGUCAGAAGGGUAUAAACAGGUUUGCCAAGAUUCUCCUCUCACCCUGACAUAAAUCAGAAGUAAUUCUGUUAGUCAAUGGAGAUACAUCAGUGUAAAACCGAUCUAAGUGAGAGAGGAUUCAGGCCCAUUGAUUUCCAUGGGAGUGGUCACAUUGAAUGUACAAACUGCAGAGAAGCAUUGCUGCAACCCACUGCAAUACAGAAGCUACAGUAAACACAGAAGUAAAGGGCCCUGGUGGAAAAGAAGCACAAGUUCAAGGACACUUCCAGGAAAAAUGUUUGGUUUGGGCAAAAGAUUCCAGACAGGGCACUCAACUUGAAUAACUCUUCUGCCUGCUACCGAGCCAGCAGCACACCCACUGGAGCCAGAAGCUUCCCCAGAGUCUGGCCCCUCAGCCUGCACUGCCUGCUGUUCUUCAGGAACUCAAUCUCUAUGCCAACGUACCUUCACUGAAUGUUCCAGAAGGAAGCGCUUCCGUGAUCAAGUUCUGAGAGGGCAGACCAGAGGUCCAGUACCAGAAGAGGGACAACAGACUGGAAUAACGGCAUGCUGACAGGCAGGAGGAAAGACUGAGGCACGCUGCCCCGGUGGAGGACAGGGUUUCAACGAGGGAGCAGGCACUUGCAAAGCAGUUCCUAAGUGGCUAAGGAAGGAGAACAGAUUUCAACAGAGAGAACUAUUCCAGCACCUCCUGUCCAUAAUGGCUCCUGCUGCCUCCUGAGCACCAUGAUAUGAUGAUCACCCUGCAAUGUACCCUCAGUCCAGCAGUAGCUUGGACAACUCCAUUUCAGGGCAGCCCAUGCAUUCAUGACUCAUGAGCAGCUGGGCCAAGGUAACUAAACCCCAUGCAGCCUUCCCACUUCACCCCCUCUGGUGGAACCUCUGCUGCCAAGUGAGGGGAAAAUGUGUAAAGCAGGGAAAGGAGAAUGUGGGGCCAAGGGACAUGCAGCUGUAGGGGGAUUAUGUCAUUAUUUACUAUUUCCUGCCCUUUUUUGUGUCUGGUUUUGUAAUGGCAGCUGGACUGGUUUACUAUUU